rnacentral:rRNA from 1 species
GACGAACGCUGGCGGCGUGCCUAAUACAUGCAAGUAGAACGCACAGUUUAUACCGUAGCUUGCUACACCAUAAACUGUGAGUUGCGAACGGGUGAGUAACGCGUAGGUAACCUGCCUGGUAGCGGGGGAUAACUAUUGGAAACGAUAGCUAAUACCGCAUAAUAUUGAUUAUUGCAUGAUAAUUGAUUGAAAGAUGCUAUUGCAUCACUACCAGAUGGACCUGCGUUGUAUUAGCUAGUAGGUGAGGUAACGGCUCACCUAGGCGACGAUACAUAGCCGACCUGAGAGGGUGAUCGGCCACCCUGGGACUGAGACACGGCCCAGACUCCUACGGGAGGAAGCAGUAGGGAAUCUUCGGCAAUGGACGAAAGUCUGACCGAGCAACGCCGCGUGAGUGAAGAAGGUUUUCGGAUCGUAAAGCUCUGUUGUAAGAGAAGAACGGGUGUGAGAGUGGAAAGUUCACACUGUGACGGUAUCUUACCAGAAAGGGACGGCUAACUACGUG